rnacentral:rRNA from 1 species
UCCAGGCUUCAGUAAAAAAAAGUCCCCUGUUGGCUUCGCUCAAAAAAGAAAAAAAGCCCAUCCCCACCGCUACACAUCCAGAUGCGCCACCGCGCUACCGCCUCCGAUUCGCAGCCGGGAUGGAAGAUGUCGUUGCUGGCCUUCACAGAAGAUGCAAGCCCUAAUCAUGGCGAUUGGCGAUCCGGGGUGGACCAAGAAGCAGGGUCGAACUCUUUGAGUUGGGUGUUAGGUCGUUGGUAGCAGGCCAUCCAUGUCACGGCGGCAUUGAGAACAAAAAAAUGGUUGCUGGAGGGAGGCUGAUUGUGAUGGAUCUGAGGCAGAGGAUACACACCGGCCAUGGUCCAUGAGAAGUAUAUAUCGGAGUAUAUCCGUAUAAGCACAUUGGGGGAGAAAUAGCUAUUUGCGGCCUUUUUAGUUGCUCAUGUUUUUGGAUUUGUACCAACGU